AAGGACACAGUUAUCGUCCUUUGAUUUUCGUUGUCUACGAAUAUAGUCCCUAGUGUAAACAGUGUAUAACUUGCAUGUUUUAUUUAAUACACUUUCCCAAUUUAUUUAUUUAUAUUAAAUGCAUGAAAUAUUCAGUAGGGGGAUGUUAUUACAUGUCAAAAAAAUUUGGGUGCUGAAACUUUAUGUUAAGUAGUGAUUUGGUCCAGUUCUAAAAGGUCAAAUUUUAUCACGUCUGAAGCUGUCAAACUGAAUUUUACACCCCCUUAACACAGAAUUGUCAAUAUUUUGGGUUAGAGCUGGGAGAAGUUUCUAUAAUUUUGAUAUUAUUUGUCUCACUGGUAGUACACUACACUGUAAAAAUAUUUUUGAGAAAGAGCAGGUGCGAUUUUUUUAAUUUGAAUUUAUUGUCUAAAAGAAAUGCACUACGAAAUAACUGUGUUCUCGGGCCUAAGAGGUCCAAGGACACAGUUAUCGUCCUUUGGUUUUCGUUGUCUACGAAUAUAGUACCUAGUGUAAACAGUGUAUAACUUGCAUGUUUUAUUUAAUACACUUUCCCAAUUUAUUUAUUUAUAUUAAAUGCAUGAAAUAUUAAGUAGGGGGAUGUUAUUACAUGUCAAAAAAAUUUGGGUGCUGAAACUUUAUGUUAAGUAGUGAUUUGGUCCAGUUCUAAAAGGUCAAAUUUUAUCACGUCUGAAGCUGUCAAACUGAAUUUUACACCCCCUUAACACAGAAUUGUCAAUAUUUUGGGUUAGAGCUGGGAGAAGUUUCUAUAAUUUUGAUAUUAUUUGUCUCACUGGUAGUACACUACACUGUAAAAAUAUUUUUGAGAAAGAGCAGGUGCGAUUUUUUUAAUUUGAAUUUAUUGUCUAAAAGAAAUGCACUACGAAAUAACUGUGUUCUCGGGCCUAAGAGGUCCAAGGACACAGUUAUCGUCCUUUGGUUUUCGUUGUCUACGAAUAUAGUACCUAGUGUAAACAGUGUAUAACUUGCAUGUUUUAUUUAAUACACUUUCCCAAUUUAUUUAUUUAUAUUAAAUGCAUGAAAUAUUAAGUAGGGGGAUGUUAUUACAUGUCAAAAAAAUUUGGGUGCUGAAACUUUAUGUUAAGUAGUGAUUUGGUCCAGUUCUAAAAGGUCAAAUUUUAUCACGUCUGAAGCUGUCAAACUGAAUUUUACACCCCCUUAACACAGAAUUGUCAAUAUUUUGGGUUAGAGCUGGGAGAAGUUUCUAUAAUUUUGAUAUUAUUUGUCUCACUGGUAGUACACUACACUGUAAAAAUAUUUUUGAGAAAGAGCA